GACGAACGCUGGCGGCGUGCUUAACACAUGCCAGUCGAACGGAAAGGCCCUGCUUUCGUGGGGUGCUCGAGUGGCGAACGGGUGAGUAACACGUGAGUAACCUGCCCUUGACUUUGGGAUAACUUCAGGAAACUGGGGCUAAUACCGGAUAGGAGCUCCUGCUGCAUGGUGGGGGUUGGAAAGUUUCGGCGGUUGGGGAUGGACUCGCGGCUUAUCAGCUUGUUGGUGGGGUAGUGGCUUACCAAGGCUUUGACGGGUAGCCGGCCUGAGAGGGUGACCGGCCACAUUGGGACUGAGAUACGGCCCAGACUCCUACGGGAGGCAGCAGUGGGGAAUAUUGCACAAUGGGCGGAAGCCUGAUGCAGCAACGCCGCGUGCGGGAUGACGGCCUUCGGGUUGUAAACCGCUUUCGCCUGUGACGAAGCGUGAGUGACGGUAAUGGGUAAAGAAGCACCGGCUAACUACGUG
rnacentral:rRNA from 1 species